rnacentral:rRNA from 1 species
AGAGUUUGAUCAUGGCUCAGGAUAAACGCUGGCGGCGUGCCUAACACAUGCAAGUCGAACGCCCUUAGCAAUAAGGGAGUGGCGGACGGGUGAGUAACACAUGGGUACCUGCCCCGAGGUGAGGAAUACCGGCGAGAAAUCGCCGACAAUACCGCAUAUGCUUUUCACAAAGCAAAGCUCGCAAGGGCGCCUUGGGAUGG